GGGUGGUAAUGCCGGAUGCUCCAGUCCAUCGCAUGGUGGUCUGGGAAAGAUUCUAUCGGUAUGGGAUGGGGUCGCGUCCUAUCAGCUUGAUGGCGGGGUAACGGCCCACCAUGGCCUCGACGGGUAGCCGGCCUGAGAGGGCGACCGGCCACAUUGGGACUGAGAUACGGCCCAGACUCCUACGGGAGGCAGCAGUGGGGAAUAUUGCACAAUGGGCGCAAGCCUGAUGCAGCGACGCCGCGUGCGGGAUGGAGGCCUUCGGGUUGUAAACCGCUUUUGAUCGGGAGCAAGCCCUUCGGGGUGAGUGUACCCUUCGAAUAAGCACCGGCUAACUACGUGCCAGCAGCCGCGGUAAUACGUAGGGUGCAAGCGUUAUCCGGAAUUAUUGGGCGUAAAGGGCUCGUAGGCGGUUCGUCGCGUCCGGUGUGAAAGCCCAUCGCUUAACGGUGGGUCUGCGCCGGGUACGGGCGGGCUGGAGUGCGGUAGGGGAGACUGGAAUUCCCGGUGUAACGGUGGAAUGUGUAGAUAUCGGAAAGAACACCA
rnacentral:rRNA from 1 species